rnacentral:rRNA from 1 species
GGACGAACGCUGGCGGCGUGCUUAACACAUGCAAGUCGAGCGGUAAGGCCUUUCGGGGUACACGAGCGGCGAACGGGUGAGUAACACGUGGGUGAUCUGCCCUGCACUUCGGGAUAAGCCUGGGAAACUGGGUCUAAUACCGGAUAUGACCUCCUAUCGCAGUGGUGGGUGUCGGAAAGAUUUAUCGGUGCAGGAUGGGCCCGCGUCCUAUCAGGUUUAGUUGGUGACGGUUAAUGGCUUACGAACCGAAGACGAACGAACGGGUACGCCCGGCCUUGGAAGAGGGUUCGACCGGCCACGACGUCGGACUGAGACGACGGCCUAGACGUCCGUACGGAGCGAGCGAGUGGGAAUAGUU